AAAUUUUCUACUCAAUCUGAAGAGGUCAGCUAGGACAGGUUUGUACCGAAGGAGUCCUGAUCCAUUCUGUUAGAACUACUCGCAGGGCUUGCUGGAGUAUCGACAAGAUUCACGUAUAGAUAUAUCUAAAGCGCACUAAUGAUUCUUAAUCCUGCAUCUCUUUGAUGGAUAUAGUGAAUAUGAAUAAUGCCAGUGCAUUCUUGUCUACCCGACGCCUGAAGAUGACAUGCCAAAUAAGGCUGCACUAAAAAUAUUUCAGUCCAAAUGUAACGAGCAGGGAUCCUGAAUAUAAAACCGCCUGCAAGUGCAUUUAGAUCAAAGAGCUUCCAGUGGUUGAGCUUCUUAUUGCUGGCAACAACAUUUCCAUUAAAAUAAUGGACGCCUAGUAGUUUACCGCUUAGUUGAUUUCGAAACCCAAAGCGAGAAUGAUCCGUUUCGAUUCUCCAUUUUUGCGAUACACCAUUUUCCCAGGGCUGAAUCCGAACCUUUUUUCCUAUUACAGUAAUGAUGCCUCCAUCCACGGAGAGGACGCACUCGCUGCCGAUCUGGGCUCGUGGGAACUGAGAUGGUGGAGAAUAUGGAGGCGGCGAGUAUGGAGGCGGAUCAAGCUCAUGCGCAAACUUGCCGGCGGUCGAAAGAUCUUCCAUGACAGUCGCAAACGAUUCUAUACACAAUUUUGGCCCACACUUUCCGUGAAUCCCAUAGCUCAAGGAAGUACUGAUAGUUGACAAUGGAUUGGGCCUGAAAGUCAAGGUUCUGCUGCCUUCUUGUGGAGGUUGACUGAUCUAGGAAGUAAGAAAAGAAUUUCAUUAUUUCGAACAAAUGCUACGGUGAAAGCAUUCUAUUUAUUUCACAAACAACAAGCUUCAGCCGUUUGACCCCUGCAAAAGAGCCCUCACCGCAUAAGUGGUCGUUCUUCUGUCAUCAGCCGCUGUCGAGGUGACAGUACUGUAAGCAAAUCUGUCUGGCAUGCACUCAGAACAGGAGAAUACUUCUUGAGAAGCUCAUAGGACGUUUGAUCCUUUUUAGUCAUGUGACGAUAAUUUUUCGAAGAUUCGCCAAUUCGCUCGUUGCAGGCGGAGAGGGGUAACGCGACAUGAUUGUCAGCAUGCAGAGUGCUGAGUCAUGGAAAAAUUGGGUCUAGAUGUCUGCAGGCAUAUAAGAUCGAAUAGUCAAUUGUGGCUCGGAUGAAUGGCUUGACAUUCAUGGCUUUGACAAAUAGCUCUGGCCUGUUCGAGGAUGCCGCAGCAGUCGCCCGUUUCACUCAGUACGGGCCCACCUUCUUCAUAGUCAAUUGUGUCUUAUCGGUAAAUUCUUUGCUCAGCCUAUCGUUUUCGGCCUAAUAGUCCAAGACUACCUUUUGAAGCUGUGCAUUUCGCGUUCUGCAACUGGUGAAAAUGCUCGAGCUCGUCUCUAAGUCGCGAGUUUUCUUCCAGCGAGUGAAACAAUUCAGCUGCUCGAGCAUCUAGAAAAGACUUUCUCUUAUUGCUGUAAUGCGAGCAUGCGCUGUUGUGCUUCUCGCAUAGCUGAGGACAGAUUCUCAUGCAUCUCUGGUGCAAUACCAGGACUUUGUGGAGCAGCUUGCGAUUGAGCUGGAGCGGAUGAACAGCAUGAUGUGCGACGGGCUUGGUGGAUCGCAUGUCAAGGAUCAAUAGUGACGGGAAAGAGCCCUAAGCCAUCCGCAAUGGGGGUUUCCUUUGUUCAAGCGAUUUCCUAAUUCGGAUCUGACGAGGCCUCCGGGGGUAUACAUGAAAAGGUGUUUAAUAAGUAGUAGGGGAAUUUCUUCUUGUUUUCUCCUCCAUACGUGGUUUUCCUACAGACGGGCUACCUAUUAGUUUUAAUGGAAUGAGCAACGUCACACGAUGAGUCAUUUUUAGAGAUUCUGGAUCAAGUACAUGCGAUACAGUACACACUAAUGAGUCUACAUCGUCUUUUACAUUGGUGGCCGACGGCAUAAAGAAACAAAACAGGGCAGAAUUGUGACUUUUACAUCGAGGCUGUUUCUGGCAUUUCGCAGGCCGGUAAAUGUACAUUGGCUCAGCUCGCCGGUUCUCCCAUCGCUUUAAAAUAAGCCUAUUCACUUUAUUUUUUGAUCGGAGAUAAGACAAAACAGUUACACGCUAUAGAUUUUCUAGCCAGCAAGAUGAUCAGGGGAAUGAAUAAUAAGAGAACGAAAAUAGAAUCACAAUGAUUGACUAGUUGUACACUAAAGUAGACUUCUCGUCCCAGUAAUAGUUCUCUAUCCAGAGCUUUAGAUCGCCCGCAUAUUGUUCUGCCAGACCCUCGGGUGUAUCAUAUCACAAACUUUUUUAUAUGGCAUC
rnacentral:lncRNA from 1 species